UUUUUUUUUGUCUUCUCCCAGUGAUCCAGUUUUUUGACACUGCCAGGGUGGAUCGUACCCGGAGCUGGCUCUAUGCUGCCUGUUCUAUCUCCUAUCUGGGUGCCAUGGUCUCCAGCAAUUCAGCACUACAGUUUGUCAACUACCCAACUCAGGUCCUUGGUAAAUCCUGCAAGCCAAUCCCAGUCAUGCUCCUUGGGGUGACCCUCUUGAAGAAGAAGUACCCGUUGGCCAAGUACCUGUGUGUGCUGUUAAUUGUGGCUGGAGUGGCCCUUUUCAUGUACAAACCCAAGAAAGUUGUUGGGAUAGAAGAACACACAGUCGGCUAUGGAGAGCUACUCUUGGUAUGAGAUCCUGUUGGGGAAGGCACCCUUUUCCAGCAAACUUAACCAAAGG
rnacentral:sRNA from 1 species